rnacentral:misc_RNA from 1 species
AAGUCGUAACAAGGUUUCCGUAGGUGAACCUGCGGAAGGAUCAUUAAUGAAUAACUAUGGUGUAGGUUGUAGCUGGCUCCUCGGAGCAUUGUGCACACCCGCCAUUUUUAUCUUUCCACCUGUGCACCGACUGUAGGUCUGGAUAACUCUCGUCUCUUCACGGAGGCGGACGCGAGGUUUGGCUUUGGCCUCUCCUUGAAUUUCCAGGUCUAUGUCUUUUUACACACCCCAAUAGUAUGACAUUGAAUGUAGUCAAUGGGCUUUGUAGCCUAUAAAACACUAUACAACUUUCAGCAACGGAUCUCUUGGCUCUC